UUAAAUAACAUUUUAAUAUGAAAUUACAAUAUUAUUCCCAAUUAAAUUCACUACAACAAAAACGGUCUAUACCGACACUUUUAAAUGUAGGUACAUGUCAAAAAAGUGCUGCUAUCUAAAAUUAUCGACAUUUUUAAAAAUGGUUGCUAUAUGUGGAGUCGCUAGAUAUAUAGUGACAGUUAAAGAGUGUCGCUAUAACCUAAAAGAGUGCUGCUAAUUUACCAACACUUAUUUAAGCAUUUAACAACCGCAGAAACUCUAUCUCGUUGGCUGCGGUGGCGGAGGAGGACGACAGGAAAGGCUCUUCGUCUAGAAUUUCAGUGGAUUGAGUGAAGAGAGAAGAAAAGAUGGUAAUUGAUUUUUCUUUUUUUUUUUUCUUUUCUGUUUGUAAUCGAACCAAAUGGACUGGGUGUGGUGGAUUGAGUAGAGUAAUCUUUUAUUUUUGGUUGGAUUGGACUUUAUAUUUAGGCAUUAGUAGAUAUUUUUUUAAGUUUUAGGAUAAAUGGGACACUUACUCAAAAGUGUCCCAAACAUGUGUCCCUAUAACCUAAUUUUGUUGUAGUGAUUCUUUAUCAUAUUACACAAUACAAUACGACAGAAUUAAUUCGGAAUAUAUCCUAUAUAAUAUAACUAGUACACAGAAUUUUUUUUUUUUCCAAUAAUCAAUUUAUGGAUCUCCAUACAUUUUCACCUUUUACUUUUAUUAUAUAUAUUGGGAAAACUUCAAAUACCCUCCCAUGUAGUUUCGCAGUUUCUCAUUUUAGUAUUAUGUGGUUUAAAGUGUAUCAAGUUAGUAUCUUGUGGUUUCGUACUUUCUCACUUUAGUAUCCUGUAGUUUAAAGUGUAUCAAGUUAGUACUAUGUGGUUUUAUUUUUGUAUCAAGUUAGUACUCUGUGGUUUUAUUUUUCUCUUUUUAUUAUUCAUUUCGGAGUAUUUUUUUCGUUAAAUCACUGACAAAGUUAAAACUAAAGGGUACUAAAAUAAAUAUUCGAUAAAUCUAGGUAGAGUAUCUGAAGUUUUUUUGUAUAUAAUUUAACGAAAUAUUAAACCAUAUGGUACUAAAGUGAGAAAGUGCGAAACACUUUAAACCACAGGAUACUAACAGGAUACUAACUUGAUACACUUUCAACUAUAUGGUACUGAAGUAAGAAAGUGCAAACUUACGGGGGGUUUUUUGAAGUUUUCCCUAUUAUAUUUGUUGGUGAACAAAUCAUGAUCAACCUUUCCCUCCCCACUCAGUUUUUUUUUUUUAAAAAAAAAAAAACUUAUCUAAACACUUAUUUUUUUAAUUAUUUUUUACUUAAUCUUUCCAACUUCUUUUAACCGUUAUACACACAUGGACUCAAUCUAAUAUAGAGAGGCAAAAACCACGCUCCCUUCAUUUAAUUCCACCAUCUCUUCCCCACCCCUUCAACGCCUCCAUUCCUUUUGUAACUUCCACUCUCUAUAUAUAACACCCCCCCAACUCUUAACUCUCCUCGUCAAUCAAAGUAAAACCAAAAAACCAACAUUUACAAACC
rnacentral:lncRNA from 1 species